AUUGCUUCUUGGCCUUUUGGCUAAGAUCAAGUGUAGCAUGCCAAUAAGAAAGUGAAAAGACAACUCACAAAAUGGCAGAAUAUAUUUUCGAAUCAUGUGCCUGAUAAGGGAGACUUGUUAUCAAUCAACCAUACAUAAAGAACUCUUACAAGUUAGUAAUAAUAAGAGAACAAAU
ensembl:snRNA U2 U2 spliceosomal RNA